GUUCUCAAUUUUUUGAUCGUUGCAAACGCUUUAUUCGUUUGCUGCAUAUUGUGACGCUUUGCAUAAAUUCCACAAGAGAAAAAAUGCCGCAUAACUUUUCAGGAGGCGUCUGUAAAUAUACCAAGAAUAAAUUCUUAACAAUUUCCUGCGUCACACUGAAAAUACGCAGUUGACAGCGUCCAAGAGCCCAAGAGUAGCUAAGAAUAAUUCGCCUUCAAUACCACACAAAUUAUUUUCUGCGCAAACGACCCGAAACUUUAACAAAACAAUAAAUUAACCUCUGUUAAUAUAUUCACCGCUGCUAAACGCUUUUAGGUUUAUGCAGGGCUGCGAUAAUAAAGACGAGCGCAAUAUAACAA